AGGGUAUCCGUUGCAUCAUUCGCAUGGAUGAUUAGUUUUUUCAACCUUAAGAUUUUACCCUGCAUCUUGCUACUUCUGUUGUAAUGGAUUUUACCCUCUGUAAUAUUUACUAAAAAGAAAUAAAUGUCACCUAUGACAAUGGUCGUUAUCUUAAUAAAUUCAAUUCAAUUCAAUUCAUACCAGAUCUGUAUCAGUAUGAUAGUGUUGUUCUUCCUGGUUUUUCCCAUCAAUCCACAAAAGUAACACAAAUACACAAUGUUCCUGUUGCUUCUACUGCUACUUAGUGCAGAAAUCUCCAAUGGACAGCUGCAAGUAGGCUUUUA
rnacentral:lncRNA from 1 species